GGGGAUUUAGCUCAGUGGUAGAGCGCUUACCUAGGAAGCUCAAGGCCCUGGGUUCGGUCCCCAGCUCCCCA
rfam:Rattus norvegicus chromosome X, whole genome shotgun sequence.